UCAGUGUUGCCACAAUUUAAAAGCUGAAUGUAAAAAUUGAACUAGAAAAUGUACUAGAUUGUACCAACUUCAAACAAAUUUAAUAAAAUUAUAGAAAGAUGUAUAAACAUAAGUUUAAAUUAAAUUUUUUUUCCAAAAAUGUUAUAGACUGUGUCAAUUAUUAUUUUAAGGAUGAAAAAUUUAUAUAAAGUUUACCGAUAAAAUUAGCAAUGCAGUACAAAAAUCUCACGAUCUAAAUAUAAAUCAACUUGGCUCUGUUUUCUAAUUAUUGUUACAAUCUAGUACAAUUUCUAGUUUAUUUUAUUAAACGAAAAUAUAAAAUAACUUUAUAUUUGCGAACGCAGGGAAAAUGUAUUAGAAAAAAGGAAAAAUGUACUAGCGUAUAAAAUACACUAAAAUUGUACAAUUGUACUAGCUCUGGCAACACUGUAUACAAUACGAGCGCUAGUGGAAAAGCGAUUUGAUUUAUUUAUAAGGUGUGUUGACAUAGUAACGUAACUUGCUACUAUUUAUAUUUCUUAUAAAAAAGCUGUCGUUUAAAAGUUUAGUAAGACUAUCAUACCGGUGGUGGAAUUAAAUUAUUAAAAAAUUGGUUUUGUCCAGAAAGUAAACGGAUAUUCCGCCAGUCAUGAAUUAAAUCUCAUUGUCAAUAAUGAAAGGGUUGUCUCUAGAAAUUUUUAAAAUUUAACUAUGUUUACGGAAUAAGAAACAAAUAACUGUUCUAGUGAUGAGAUCUUAUGAGGAUUGUAAAACAACUUAUGAUAAGUAGUACCCUUAUUUAUUGAUACGUAUCCAAAUCGCUAUCAAAUUACAAAACUACAGGGGGGAAUGUAAACUUCUUUUUUGAAAAAGUUGGAUAAAAUUAGCCGACCAAAGAUCGCAACUAAUCAUGAAAAAUCUUUUUGCUAUACAACGUUUUGUGAAAAAUAUUUGUACAUCUACUCCAAAAACUACUGGUAUUCGUGUAGGAUUAUUAAGAAGAAGUUUCAUUUCCACUAUAAUACAAGAAUUAUCUGGAGAUGACUGCAGAAUAGAAUUUUAUAAAAUUAUAUUGCACAAGGUCAAAAAUAAAUUGCAAAGUCAACGUUCUUCUACAUCUGAAGAAGCGGUUGAUGCGUUCAAAUCACAUGUUUUGGAGGUGUCUCAAUCGUAAUGGAAAAAAUACUUCGAUAAUUGGUUCAAACGCAAGCAAAAGUGUAUUUUUUUUCAUGGAGAAUAUUUUGAAAAGCAAUAAAGCCAUAUCCAACUAUAAAUAUUUGUCUAUCUCAAAACUUAAGUAGCAACUCUCAUAGUAUAACACACACCAAUAGUUAUGACCUCUCCACCGUUAGCGCUUGAAUUGUUUUUAUGUGCCGAUAAGAAAUCAACUUAUUUCAUUUUUAGUUUGUUAGAUUUUGGAAAUAAGUAGUUAACAUAUCAAAGAACAAAAUAACAAUUUCUGUAACUAUCCAUUUACAAUCAUAUUCUAUAUGUUUGUUCCUAUGACAACCACAUUGUCAUAAAGUUUACAUUAUUAUUUCUACAAUUAGAACACUUAUCUAGGUAUCCGCCCAGUUGUUAUUAAAUAUGAGAGCUAAUUUAGAAAAAAAUGUUUUUUCAAAACUUACCAAUUUUAAAAUUUUUAACACAAUUGUUCCCACAGUUUCUAUACUUGUCAUUUUGUGAAGAAGUGUUGCGAUUUUUUUGCUAAAUUGAGUUAAUUUUACACAGAAAUGGUGCUUUUUCACCUGCUACGAGCAAAAUGAGGUGAGUCAAUAUAGAUAAUCGGUUUAUCUCUGCAGAUAAGAUUCUGUUUUGGCUUCAUUGCUCUCCAAUAAAAAUUGUUCAAUAUUUUAGUACCUAGAAGGUAAUAAAUAUCAUGACAAACUAAAACAAACAUAAAUUCGUCAUUUUUCCAUAAUUAGGUAUUUUUCAUUCUGUGUUUAUUAACGCAAAAAAACUUUCAGUAAAAAUAAAAGUUGCGCAUAAAAAUGCAUUUUCACUUAUUUGAAUGUUUAGACGAAUAAAGUGCAGUACACAUAAAA